UUCGAGACCUACGGGAGCCCCACCGGGGCUGAGAGGGCGACAGCCGACCGUCACACCUGAUGCGGGUAAUGCCGCCGGAGGAAAGGAGCGAUGACGCGAU
rnacentral:ncRNA from 2 species